GAUGAAGAACGUAGCGAAAUGCGAUAAGUAAUGUGAAUUGCAGAAUUCAGUGAAUCAUCGAAUCUUUGAACGCACCUUGCACCCUUUGGCAUUCCGAAGGGUAUGCUCGUUUGAGUGUCAUUGUACUCUCACACUCCCAAUUGCUUUGGAUUGGGAGCGGUGGACUUGGGUGUUGCUGCUUGACUGAGGCUCACCUGAAAUAUGUUAGUGCACCUCUUGAUUGGACAUAGUACGGCGUGAUAAGUGUCUUCGCCGGCUCCUCGCAAAGAGGGUGGCCGAUCGGGAGCUCUGUUGCUUCAAACUGUCUUCGGACAAUCUUCUGGCGACUUGACCUCAAAUCGAGUAGAACUACCCGCUGAACUUAAGCAUAUCAAUAAGCGGAGGA
rnacentral:misc_RNA from 1 species